rnacentral:rRNA from 1 species
GACGAACGCUGGCGGCGUGCUUAACACAUGCAAGUCGAACGGAAAGGCCCUGCUUUUGUGGGGUGCUCGAGUGGCGAACGGGUGAGUAACACGUGAGUAACCUGCCCUUGACUUUGGGAUAACUUCAGGAAACUGGGGCUAAUACCGGAUAGGAGCUCCUGCUGCAUGGUGGGGGUUGGAAAGUUUCGGCGGUUGGGGAUGGACUCGCGGCUUAUCAGCUUGUUGGUGGGGUAGUGGCUUACCAAGGCUUUGACGGGUAGCCGGCCUGAGAGGGUGACCGGCCACAUUGGGACUGAGAUACGGCCCAGACUCCUACGGGAGACAGCAGUGGGGAAUAUUGCACAAUGGGCGGAAGCCUGAUGCAGCAGCGCCGCGUGCGGGAUGACGGCCUUCGGGUUGUAAACCGCUUUCGCCUGUGACGAAGCGUGAGUGACGGUAAUGGGUAAAGAAGCACCGGCUAACUACGUG